CCGAACCACCCGCCGGCACCGGCCGGCACCAGGACCGGGGACCCAACCGCACCACUGGGGUGAAGCGACCGACGGCCCGCGCGGCCACCGGACGCCGGGCGCCUUCCCGCCCGAACCCGUCAGCUCACCCGGUAGGCGGCCGUGGAAGAAAGG
rnacentral:sRNA from 2 species